AUUGAACGCUGGCGGCAGGCCUAACACAUGCAAGUCGAACGAGUGGCGGACGGGUGAGUAAUGUCUGGGAAACUGCCCGAUGGAGGGGGAUAACUACUGGAACCGGUAGCUAAUACCGCAUACCAUCGGAUGUGCCCAGAUGGGAUUAGCUUGUAGGUGAGGUAACGGCUCACCUAGGCGACGAUCCCUAGCUGGUCUGAGAGGAUGACCAGCAAGAUAGGAACUGAGCAACGGUCCAGACUCCUACGGUAGGCAGAAGUGGGGAAUAUUGCACAAUGGGCGAAAGCCUGAGGCAGCCAUGGCGGGGGUAGGGAGAAGGCAUUCGGGUUGUAAAGUACUUUCAGCGGGGAGGCGUUACCCGCAGAAGAAGCACCGGCUAACUCCGUGCCAGCAGCCGCGGUAAUUC
rnacentral:rRNA from 1 species